UCCGGUUGAUCCUGCCGGACCUGACUGCUAUCGGAUUGGUACUAAGCCAUGCGAGUCAUUGUAGCAAUACAAGGCGGACGGCUCAGUAACACGUAGUCAACCUAACUCGUGGACGUGGAUAACCUCGGGAAACUGAGAAUAAACCACGAUAGAUCAUAGUGCCUGGAAUGGCUUAUGGUCCAAACAGUUUACUGCCAUGGGAUGGGACUGCGGCCUAUCAGCUUGUUGGUGAGGUAAUGGCCCACCAAGGCGAUUACAGGUACGGGCUCUGAGAGGAGAAGCCCGGAGAUGGGUACUGAGACACGGACCCAGACCCUAUGGGGCGCAGCAGGCGAGAAACCUUAGCAAUGUGCGAAAGCACGACUGGGUCAGUCCGAGUGAUUCCUGAUAAAGGAGUCUUUUGCUUGUCCUAAAAGCACGGGUGAAUAAGGGGUGGGCAAGUCUGGUGUCAGCCGCCGCGGUAAUACCAGCACCUCGAGUGGUCAGGACGUUUAUUGGGCCUAAAGCAUCCGUAGCCGGCUUUGCAAGUCUUCGGUUAAAUCCACCUGCUCAACAGAUGGGCUGCUGGAGAUACUACAAAGCUAGGGAGUGGGAGAGGCAGACGGUAUUCAGUGGGUAGGGGUAAAAUCCUCUGAUCCAUUGAGGACCACCAGUGGCGAAGGCGGUCUGCCAGAACACGUUCGACGGUGAGGGAUGAAAGCUGGGGGAGCAAACCGGAUUAGAUACCCGGGUAGUCCCAGCUGUAAACGAUGCAAACUCGGUGAUGCAUUGGCUUAUGGCCAAUGCAGUGCCGCAGGGAAGCCGUUAAGUUUGCCGCCUGGGAAGUACGGACGCAAGUCUGAAACUUAAAGGAAUUGGCGGGGGAGCACCACAAGGGGUGAAGCCUGCGGUUCAAUUGGACUCAACGCCGGG
rnacentral:rRNA from 1 species